rnacentral:rRNA from 1 species
UCUAAAGAGACUGCCGAUGACAAAUCGGAGGAAGGUGGGGAUGACGUCAAAUCAUCAUGCCCUUUAUGUCCUGGGCUACACACGUGCUACAAUGGUCGGUACAACGAGAAGCAAGCCAGCGAUGGCAAGCAAAUCUCUAAAAGCCGAUCCCAGUUCGGAUUGCAGGCUGCAACUCGCCUGCAUGAAGUCGGAGUUGCUAGUAAUCGCGGAUCAGAAUGCCGCGGUGAAUGCGUUCCCGGGUCUU